rnacentral:rRNA from 1 species
GGGUUGUGAGGUUAAGCGACUAAGCGUACACGGUGGAUGCCCUGGCAGUCAGAGGCGAUGAAGGACGUGCUAAUCUGCGAAAAGCGUCGGUAAGGUGAUAUGAACCGUUAUAACCGGCGAUGUCCGAAUGGGGAAACCCAGUGCAAUUCGUUGCACUAUCGUUAACUGAAUACAUAGGUUAACGAGGCGAACCGGGGGAACUGAAACAUCUAAGUACCCCGAGGAAAAGAAAUCAACCGAGAUUCCCCCAGUAGCGGCGAGCGAACGGGGAGCAGCCCAGAGUCUGAAUCAGCUUGUGUGUUAGUGGAACGGUCUGGAAAGUCCGACGGUACAGGGUGAUAGUCCCGUACACCAAAAUGCACAGGUUGUGAACUCGAAGAGUAGGGCGGGACACGUGGUAUCCUGUCUGAAUAUGGGGGGACCAUCCUCCAAGGCUAAAUACUCCUGACUGACCGAUAGUGAACCAGUACCGUGAGGGAAAGGCGAAAAGAACCCCGGCGAGGGGAGUGAAAAGAACCUGAAACCGUGUACGUACAAGCAGUGGGAGCACCUUCGGGUGUGACUGCGUACCUUUGUAUAAUGGGUCAGCGACUUAUAUUCUGUAGCAAGGUUAACCGUAUAGGGGAGCCGCAGGGAAACCGAGUCUUAACUGGGCGUUAAGUUGCAGGGUAUAGACCCGAAACCCGGUGAUCUAGCCAUGGGCAGGUUGAAGGUUGGGUAACACUAACUGGAGGACCGAACCGACUAAUGUUGAAAAAUUAGCGGAUGACUUGUGGCUGGGGGUGAAAGGCCAAUCAAACCGGGAGAUAGCUGGUUCUCCCGAAAGCUAUUUAGGUAGCGCCUCGUGAAUUCAUCUUCGGGGUAGAGCACUGUUUCGGCUAGGGGUCAUCCCGACUUACCAACCCGAUGCAAACUACGAAUACCGAAGAAUGUUAUCACGGGAGACACACGGCGGGUGCUAACGUCCGUCGUGAAGAGGGAAACAACCCAGACCGCCAGCUAAGGUCCCAAAGUCAUGGUUAAGUGGGAAACGAUGUGGGAAGGCACAGACAGCCGUGAUGUUGGCUUAGAAGCAGCCAUCAUUUAAAGAAAGCGUAAUAGCUCACUGGUCGAGUCGGCCUGCGCGGAAGAUGUAACGGGGCUAAACCAUGCACCGAAGCUGCGGCAGCGACACUAUGUGUUGUUGGGUAGGGGAGCGUUCUGUAAGCCUGCGAAGGUGACCUGUGAGGGUUGCUGGAGGUAUCAGAAGUGCGAAUGCUGACAUAAGUAACGAUAAAGCGGGUGAAAAGCCCGCUCGCCGGAAGACCAAGGGUUCCUGUCCAACGUUAAUCGGGGCAGGGUGAGUCGACCCCUAAGGCGAGGCCGAAAGGCGUAGUCGAUGGGAAACAGGUUAAUAUUCCUGUACUUGGUGUUACUGCGAAGGGGGGACGGAGAAGGCUAUGUUAGCCGGGCGACGGUUGUCCCGGUUUAAGCAUGUAGGCUGAUUGUCCAGGCAAAUCCGGAUAAUCAAGGCUGAGGUGUGAUGACGAGGCACUACGGUGCUGAAGUAACAAAUGCCCUGCUUCCAGGAAAAGCCUCUAAGCAUCAGGUAACAUCAAAUCGUACCCCAAACCGACACAGGUGGUCAGGUAGAGAAUACCAAGGCGCUUGAGAGAACUCGGGUGAAGGAACUAGGCAAAAUGGUGCCGUAACUUCGGGAGAAGGCACGCUGGUGUGUAGGUGAAGUCCCUGCGGAUGGAGCUGAGACCAGUCGAAGAUACCAGCUGGCUGCAACUGUUUAUUAAAAACACAGCACUGUGCAAACACGAAAGUGGACGUAUACGGUGUGACGCCUGCCCGGUGCCGGAAGGUUAAUUGAUGGGGUUAUCCGUAAGGAGAAGCUCUUGAUCGAAGCCCCGGUAAACGGCGGCCGUAACUAUAACGGUCCUAAGGUAGCGAAAUUCCUUGUCGGGUAAGUUCCGACCUGCACGAAUGGCGUAAUGAUGGCGCUGUCUCCACCCGAGACUCAGUGAAAUUGAACUCGCUGUGAAGAUGCAGUGUACCCGCGGCAAGACGGAAAGACCCCGUGAACCUUUACUAUAGCUUGACACUGAACAUUGAGCCUUGAUGUGUAGGAUAGGUGGGAGGCUUUGAAGCGUGGACGCCAGUCUGCGUGGAGCCAACCUUGAAAUACCACCCUUUAAUGUUUGAUGUUCUAACGUUGGCCCCUUACCGGGGUUGCGGACAGUGUCUGGUGGGUAGUUUGACUGGGGCGGUCUCCUCCCAAAGCGUAACGGAGGAGCACGAAGGUUAGCUAAUCGGUCGGACAUCAGGAGGUUAGUGCAAUGGCAUAAGCUAGCUUGACUGCGAGCGUGACGGCGCGAGCAGGUGCGAAAGCAGGUCAUAGUGAUCCGGUGGUUCUGAAUGGAAGGGCCAUCGCUCAACGGAUAAAAGGUACUCCGGGGAUAACAGGCUGAUACCGCCCAAGAGUUCAUAUCGACGGCGGUGUUUGGCACCUCGAUGUCGGCUCAUCACAUCCUGGGGCUGAAGUAGGUCCCAAGGGUAUGGCUGUUCGCCAUUUAAAGUGGUACGCGAGCUGGGUUUAGAACGUCGUGAGACAGUUCGGUCCCUAUCUGCCGUGGGCGCUGGAGAAUUGAGGGGGGCUGCUCCUAGUACGAGAGGACCGGAGUGGACGCAUCACUGGUGUUCGGGUUGUCAUGCCAAUGGCACUGCCCGGUAGCUAAAUGCGGAAGAGAUAAGUGCUGAAAGCAUCUAAGCACGAAACUUGCCCCGAGAUGAGUUCUCCCUGAGACUUUAAGUCUCCUGAAGGAACGUUGAAGACGACGACGUUGAUAGGCCGGGUGUGUAAGCGCAGCGAUGCGUUGAGCUAACCGGUACUAAUGAACCGUGAGGCUUAACCUUACAACGCCGAAG